UGAGGAAUAUUGGUCAAUGGACGAGAGUCUGAACCAGCCAAGUAGCGUGCAGGAUGACGGCCCUAUGGGUUGUAAACUGCUUUUGUUUGGGAAUAAUCGACAUUACGUGUAAUGUUUUGCAUGUACUAUUCGAAUAAGGACCGGCUAAUUCCGUGCCAGCAGCCGCGGUAAUACGGAAGGUCCUGGCGUUAUCCGGAUUUAUUGGGUUUAAAGGGAGUGUAGGCGGUUGGUUAAGCGUGUUGUGAAAUGUAGAUGCCCAACAUCUGACUUGCAGCGCGAACUGGCUGACUUGAGUACACGCAAGGUAGGCGGAAUUCAUGGUGUAGCGGUGAAAUGCUUAGAUAUCAUGAAGAGCUCCGAUUGCGAAAGCAGCUUACGGGAGUGUUACUGACGCUUAAGCUCGAAAGUGCGGGUAUCGAACAGG
rnacentral:rRNA from 1 species